UACGUAGGGUGCAAGCGUUAAUCGGAAUUACUGGGCGUAAAGCGUGCGCAGGCGGUUUUGUAAGUCUGACGUGAAAUCCCCGGGCUCAACCUGGGAAUUGCGUUGGAGACUGCAAGGCUAGAAUCUGGCAGAGGGGGGUAGAAUUCCACGUGUAGCAGUGAAAUGCGUAGAGAUGUGGAGGAACACCGAUGGCGAAGGCUGCCCCCUGGGUCAAGAUUGACGCUCAUGCACGAAAGCGUGGGGAGCAAACAGG
rnacentral:rRNA from 1 species